rnacentral:rRNA from 1 species
GAUGAAUGCUGGCGGCGUGCCUAAUACAUGCAAGUCGAGCGGUAAGGCCCUUCGGGUACGACGAGCGGCGGACGGCUGAGUAACGCGUGGGAACAUGCCCCAAAGUGAGGGAUAACGCACCGAAAGGUGUGCUAAUACCGCAUAUGGUCUUCGGAUUAAAGGAUUAUCCGCUUUGGGAGUGGCCCGCGUACGAUUAGAUUGUUGGUGAGGUAACGGCUCACCAAAGUCGACGAUCGUUAACUGGUCUGAGAGGAUGAUCAGUCAGACUGGAACUGAGACACGGUCCAGACUCCUACGGGAGGCAGCAGUAAGGAAUCUUCCACAAUGGGCGAAAGCCUGAUGGAGCAACGCCGCGUGCAGGAUGAAGGCCCUCGGGUCGUAAACU